GUCUGGCUCUCAUAGUGGUCUGUAGGGUCUGGCUCUAGUGGUCUCCCAGGGUCUGGCUCUCAUAGCUGUCUCCCAGGGUCUGGGUCUGUAGUGGUCUCUCAGCGUCUCUAGUGGUCUCUUAUGGUCUGGGUCUGAAGCUGUCUCUAAGGCGUGUGGGGGGGUUGUUGGCCUGCAUGCUGUCGUCAACUCAACCAGAGUUAAUACAUGUUUAGAGGUGAGAGUGGGCUGUCCUUGCGACCGGCUUAUCCUGCCAGUGUUGAGGAGAUGCAACCUUUUAGUAUCACUCUGAGUCCAUGGUGAGU
ensembl:lncRNA